rnacentral:rRNA from 1 species
UAAUACGUAGGGGGCGAGCGUUGUCCGGAUUCAUUGGGCGUAAAGAGCUCGUAGGCGGUUUAGCAAGUCGGGUGUGAAAUCUCCAGGCUCAACCUGGAGCGGCCAUUCGAUACUGCUAUGACUAGAGUCCAGUAGGGGAGUGUGGAAUUCCCGGUGUAGCGGUGAAAUGCGCAGAUAUCGGGAGGAACACCGGCGGCGAAGGCGGCACUCUGGGCUGGUACUGACGCUGAGGAGCGAAAGCGUGGGGAGCAAACAGGAUUAGAUACCCUGGUAGUCCACGCCGUAAACGUUGGGCACUAGGUGUGGGGUCUUAUCAACGGACUCUGUGCCGCAGCUAACGCAAUAAGUGCCCCGCCUGGGGAGUACGGCCGCAAGGCUA